rnacentral:misc_RNA from 1 species
AACGCACAUUGCGCCCGGCAGUAAUCUGCCGGGCAUGCCUGUCCGAGCGUCAUUUCAGCCCUCGAACCACUAUUCACGUAGCUGGAUCGGUGUUGGGACACUACGGUGGAAUACCCGUAGGCCCCUAAAUGAAGUGGCGGUCCCGCCGCGGCGCCCCCAUGCGUAGUAACUUUCAGUCUCGCAUCGGGUCCCGGCGGAGGCCUGCCGUCAAGCCUAUUUUAUCUUUACAGAUGGUUUGACCUCGGAUCAGGUAGGGUUACCCGCUGAACUUAA